GAGACCAGGGUGCUGGCCGAGGAGGACUGAGUAGGGCUGGGGUUCCAGAUUGAUGCUGGACUUGCUGAAGGAUGUGGGCAACAAGAGAAGACACUCAAGCAUGACUCCCAUGUUCCUCCAUGCAUGGCCUGAGCAACUGACUAGAUAAAAGUGGUGUCUAUCUGAUGGGAGCAUUAAGGUGAGAGAAAGGCUAGGGUUGUGUAUAUCCUUGACCCGUAGUGAAGGAGUGUUCCAAAUACAAAGGAGGGGUCAUCAUGCAAAUACAACCUGUACAUCAGGUGACAGGAAUGUCUAUUGGACCCUGAGGACCUGGAAGAAGAGAACCAGAGAUGGGCCAAAGAGAGUUUGUGUUAGUCGCUCAGUCGUGUCGACUCUUUUCAAUCCCACGGACUGCAACCUGCCAGGCUCCUCUCUCCAUGAAAUUCUCCAGGCAAGAAUACUGAAGUGGCGCUCGUCAUCCAGUCCAAACCACCCUGGACCCCAGGAAGAGGAAGUGGGGAGUAUGCAGAAGGGUCUGUCAGGGCUUUCAGACACAGUCGUUAGAGGAAGCACACUGACUGAAACCGCCCACCCUGGCCAGGCACCAUGGUAAUCAUUUGCCUGAGUUGUUUUACCAUGGGAGGUUCUGUUAAGGAACAUGGAACUAAUAAACCACCACCAACCAGAAGACUUCAGGAAAGGUCAAAAGAAGACACCACAUGUCCAACCACCUCCCCAAAUCCUCCUCUCUGGCAUCCAUCUUGGCUGAACCAGGUGGACUCUGAGUCAGAAUGACUGGCUAAAGACAACCCAGAAACUCAUCCCAUCACCAUAAAACCGGAGACUUUGAGCCACGUGGCCAAGCAGUUCUCUUAGUUUCCCUUACCCUACUGCUCUGCCCAGGCACCCUUUCCCAAUAAAAUCUCUUGCUUUGUCAGCACAUGUAUUUCCUCUGACAGUUCAUUUCCAAGGGUUAGACAAGAGCCCA
ensembl:lncRNA